GGGAACUGCGUUCUGAACUGGGUGACUAGAGUGUGUCAGAGGGAGGUAGAAUUCCACGUGUAGCAGUGAAAUGCGUAGAGAUGUGGAGGAAUACCGAUGGCGAAGGCAGCCUCCUGGGAUAACACUGACGUUCAUGCCCGAAAGCGUGGGUAGCAAACAGGAUUAGAUACCCUGGUAGUCCACGCCCUAAACGAUGUCGAUUAGCUGUUGGGCAGCAUGACUGCUUAGUAGCGAAGCUAACGCGUGAAAUCGACCGCCUGGGGAGUACGGUCGCAAGAUUAAAACUCAAAGGAAUUGACGGGGACCCGCACAAGCGGUGGAUGAUGUGGAUUAAUUCGAUGCAACGCGAAGAACCUUACCUGGUCUUGACAUGUACGGAACCCUCCAGAGACGGAGGGGUGCCUUCGGGAGCCGUAACACAGGUGCUGCAUGGCUGUCGUCAGCUCGUGUCGUGAGAUGUUGGGUUAAGUCCCGCAACGAGCGCAACCCUUGUCAUUAGUUGCCAUCAUUAAGUUGGGCACUCUAAUGAGACUGCCGGUGACAAGCCGGAGGAAGGUGGGGAUGACGUCAAGUCCUCAUGGCCCUUAUGACCAGGGCUUCACACGUCAUACAAUGGUCGGUACAGAGGGUAGCCAAGCCGCGAGGUGGAGCCAAUCUCACAAAACCGAUCGUAGUCCGGAUUGCACUCUGCAACUCGAGUGCAUGAAGUCGGAAUCGCUAGUAAUCGCAGGUCAGCAUACUGCGGUGAAUACGUUCCCGGGUCUUGUACACACCGCCCGUCACACCAUGGGAGUGGGGGAUACCAGAAGUAGGUAGGGU
rnacentral:rRNA from 1 species